rnacentral:tRNA from 1 species
GCCACUUUAGCUCAGAUGGCAGAGCAACAGACUGAAGAUCUGCGGGUCCUGGGUUCGAUUCCCAGAAGUGGCA